rnacentral:rRNA from 1 species
AUUGAACGCUGGCGGCAGGCCUAACGCAUGCAAGUCGAGCGGAUGAAGGGAGCUUGCUCCUGGAUUCAGCGGCGGACGGGUGAGUAAUGCCUAGGAAUCUGCCUGGUAGUGGGGGAUAACGUCCGGAAACGGGCGCUAAUACCGCAUACGUCCUGAGGGAGAAAGUGGGGGAUCUUCGGACCUCACGCUAUCAGAUGAGCCUAGGUCGGAUUAGCUAGUUGGUGGGGUAAAGGCCUACCAAGGCGACGAUCCGUAACUGGUCUGAAAGGAUGAUCAGUCACACUGGAACUGAGACACGGUCCAGACUCCUACGGGAGGCAGCAGUGGGGAAUAUUGGACAAUGGGCGAAAGCCUGAUCCAGCCAUGCCGCGUGUGUGAAGAAGGUCUUCGGAUUGUAAAGCACUUUAAGUUGGGAGGAAGGGCAGUAAGUUAAUACCUUGCUGUUUUGACGUUACCAACAGAAUAAGCACCGGCUAACUUCGUG